UACGGAGGGUGCAAACGUUGCUCGGAAUCAUUGGGCGUAAAGCGCACGUAGGCGGACCAUCAAGUCGGAUGUGAAAUCCCUCGGCUUAACCGAGGACGUGCAUUCGAAACUGAUGGUCUUGAGUACGAAAGAGGAUCGCGGAAUUCCCGGUGUAGAGGUGAAAUUCGUAGAUAUCUGGAGGAAUACCGGUGGCGAAGGCGGCAUCCUGGACCGGCAUUGACGCUGAGGAGCGAAAGCCAGGGGAGCAAACGGG
rnacentral:rRNA from 1 species